CUGCCCCUGAAAGCCAUGGGUUUUUGUGCUGAGGUAUUUCUCAGGGAUGAGAGGGCAGAGUCUGGGCCUCAUUUGCACAGGAAGUUACUGGAAGAUAUGCACCAUCAAGACGAGGGAGUAUAUUAAGGAAGAAGAAGACAUGGAAUCCAUACAACUGUGGGUAGAGUUGCCUUGGCACUAAGCAGCACAGAGGGAAAAUGAAGAAAAGGAGGGACAGAGGAAGAAUGAAGCAAUGAGAAUGUCUACAUGGCCAAGUUCUGGUUAUUGAGAAGUUAACAAGGAUGAUUGCACCCUUAAAAGAAACGCCCUCCUUAUUCCCUCUUUCCUUGGUUGGAACAUGGACAUUGAUUGUGGUGAGCCUCCUUUAACCAUGUGCAUAAGCCAAACAUCCUAAGAGUCCUAGCAACAAGCUAGGAGGAGCCUGGGUUCCUAACAUUGUACAUCAACCAUAUUAUUCCUGGACUAUUUACACUUAGACUGUUACACACAGUCUCAUCCAAGCCUUUAUUAUUUUGGGUCUUGCUAGAGCAGCCAAACUUGUAUCCUAGCUAACACAACCUCUUUUGGGGUGCCAGGGCAGUUACAAUCUCCCCUUAUCCAAGAUUCCCCCACUCUACUCACCCAGGAGGUAGUCUAGAGAGAUUAUCAUAGUGGUCUAUGAAU